rnacentral:rRNA from 1 species
AUACGUAGGGGGCGAGCGUUGUCCGGAAUGAUUGGGCGUAAAGGGCGCGUAGGCGGCCCGGUAAGUCUGGAGUGAAAGUCCUGCUUUUAAGGUGGGAAUUGCUUUGGAUACUGUCGGGCUUGAGUGCAGGAGAGGUAAGUGGAAUUCCCAGUGUAGCGGUGAAAUGCGUAGAGAUUGGGAGGAACACCAGUGGCGAAGGCGACUUACUGGACUGUAACUGACGCUGAGGCGCGAAAGUGUGGGGAGCAAACAGGAUUAGAUACCCUGGUAGUCCACACUGUAAACGAUGAAUGCUAGGUGUAGGGGGUAUCGACCCCUUCUGUGCCGCAGUUAACACAAUAAGCAUUCCGCCUGGGGAGUACGGCCGCAAGGUUGAAACUUAAAGGAAUUGACGGGG